AGCGGCGAGCGAAGCGGGAAGAGCUCAAAUUUAUAAUCUGGCACCUUCGGUGUCCGAGUUGUAAUCUCUAGAAGUGUUUUCCGCGUUGGACCGCACACAAGUCUGUUGGAAUACAGCGGCAUAGUGGUGAGACCCCCGUAUAUGGUGCGGACGCCCAACGCUUUGUGAUACACUUUCGAAGAGUCGAGUUGUUUGGGAAUGCAGCUCAAAUUGGGUGGUAAAUUCCAUCUAAAGCUAAAUAUUGGCGAGAGACCGAUAGCGAACAAGUACCGUGAGGGAAAGAUGAAAAGCACUUUGGAAAGAGAGUUAACAGUACGUGAAAUUGUUGGAAGGGAAACGCUUGAAGUCAGACUUGCUUGCCGAGCAAUCGGUUUGCAGGCCAGCAUCAGUUUUCCGGGGUGGAUAAUGGUAGAGAGAAGGUAGCAGUUUCGGCUGUGUUAUAGCUCUCUGCUGGAUACACCUUGGGGGACUGAGGAACGCAGUGUGCCUUACGGCGGAUUUCUCGAGAUCUUCACACUUAGGAUGCUGGUGGAAUGGCUUUAAACGACCCGUCUU
rnacentral:rRNA from 1 species